AAGUCAAUUUUUACUGGGUUUAAGGACCCGCGUGUGUGUGUGUGUCGCUCUUCUUAUUCUAAGAGACGUCACUCGAGUUGAAUCUAGUGUGUGACGAUAUAUCCGACAUUUGUGUGUCACAGGACACUAAUUGGCCUAUACACCUCUGGGUGUUGACCCUGUGUACGAGUGAUUCUCACCUUGUGUGUAGCCUGUCUUCACAGGAACCACCACUUCCUUAUCACAAAGUACACCGUGUUCAUUUA